rnacentral:lncRNA from 1 species
AUGCCUUUUUCAAGCCCAACUAGCACCUUGAGAAUCGUUCUGAACUCUAGUUCUGACAUAUUCCCAAUGUCCAUAUUGAUUAGGUCCCUAGCUGUCGGUAGUGCCUCUUCUUCUUUUCUCGUGCACUCCGAGCUCACCCAACCUGCGACUCAGCUUUUCUAUCUCUGGAGCAUAGCCCCAUUUGGUGUCUCCAAACUCAGUGGAUUCCUGCUGCACUGCUUCUCCCAGAGCAGGAAGGUGAGUCUCCCUGGAUUUGCCACUUGUGGGGUCCCUGCUCAAAGAACAGUGACCCAGCUGUGCCUUGGAUCAUGGUUUAAUGUAGACCCAAUCUAAAGGCUCACUCUUCAGUUUUGUCUCUGAAUCUGGCUUCCCUACUCUGAUACCAGGCAACUCUGCCACACUCAGACACCCCCCAUCUUUCUGUGACCUCACAGGACCUGAGACCACACUGUCCCCACAAGGGCUUCACCCCCGCUUAACCUCUGGAACAAUGUCCCUCGGUGGAACAGACUUCUAAAAGUUCUGAUUUUGUGCUCACUGUUCUGCCACUUUCCGGGAGCCAGGCCCUCCCCCAAUGGUUUAUCUUCCUGUUGCUUCAGAUUCACUUCUCUACACAUCCUAACUUUCAGAAAGUGGUCGAUUUUCUGUUCCUAGAAUUGCUGCUCUUCUUCUCUUCUCUCUCUUGUUGAGUUUGUAGGUGUUUGGAAUGGUUUGACACCUACCUAGCUGAACUCCUGGAUCUGAUAUCGUUUCAGUCUGCUACUGCUCUGCCAUCUUGCCUCUCUCUCUGUUGUUACUUUUUGAAGGCUUCAUUGAUUAGGUGUCAUGAAAUAUGCAGAGAAACAAGGUGAUUCCAGAUUCUCUUCACUCUCUCCUGCUCUGAGUGCAGCUCUUCUUUCCACCUGUUAGUCCUACUGACCCACAGCACCCCAGGCUCACCAGCAGACAUGGAGACAGCAGGUUUCCCUACACAUCAGUACCUUUUCUUCAGUCUCCCCCUGGCAGCUGCCCAUAUUCUCUUUCAAGCUCCCAACUUGCUGCAGUGUUUCAGGAGGUUAGCUAGUAGUUUGUCUCUGAUCCUCCCACUUCCCCCUUUUCCACAAUUGUUCCAUUUAGUCCUAUAAGGAUCCUUUAUUACAUGAUAUGAGUCUGCCUUCCAGAUGGAAUCCUGACUAUUACACUCCUAUUCCUUUCUACCUCCUGAAAUUAUUUCUGAUCCCUUUAGCAUUUUCAUUUUAUUAGAUAUUAGUCAUAUAUUCCUCAUUGGUUGUGGGUUGCAGAGAAAGGUCUCCUUAUAAUUGUAUUUUCUUUUUUAGAGGCUUGGAGGAGUUGUCAUGCACCUUUCUUCUCUUUGGGUUAUAUUUAAUUAAAAACAAACAAAAACACAAAGCAGAAGUCAAAAUAAAGAUUAGUUUAAUAAUGGAAAAGCUGGAUUUCAGAAAUUGGCAAGCCAGCCUCCCUCCUAUCCCAAUUAAAAUUUUCCCAUUCAGUCAUCAGAGAGAAAGCAUUAAAUCUCUCUCCACUCUGAGGAGGGCUGCUGUGUGUUUGCCACAAGGGAGAAGUAAUUGAGGAGGAGAAUCAUAUUUCAUUUAAUGACCCACAGUUCUAAGAGAAAGAGGGGUAGACCUGCACUAUCUGUUUCUAAACAGUAACCUGCUUCCGAAAUAGUGUCAUGAAUGUCAGGCUCUUACAAAUGUCAACAGGCAGUUGAAAGUCACUCUUCCUUCACCAAGAGACCCUAAAAGUGUACAUUCCAAUAUGGUCUCUUCUUUGGAUAUAGGGGAAGGUCCCACAUUGGAAACUUGGGGUCAUGGGACUUGGGUUCUACCUUUCCUUGUCCUCGUGUCACUACAUUUAAAGAUCAUUUGUAAAUACUUUAUUAGGGCACUCUAGAUUGACAGCUCCUAUUUAUAAUUAUAUAGACCAACCCAUGACCCAUGUCAACACUUCCUUGCCUAUAUGAGUUCUUUCUUAAAGAAUGAUAAACUCUACAGAGUGGGAAGACAAAAUGCUAUACUUGCCUUCCCAUCAUUUCUUGAUGGUAGGGGAUUGUCCUGAGUAGUGGUUCUGGCCGGUGAGCCAUAGACUAAGCCAUAGACUUAGCCAUAGCUAAGUCGAAUGUUUUACUUGAAAACUUCUGUUUAUAAAAGGAGAUAGAUACAGGUGUCACCAAUCCUUUUCUUCCUUCUUCCUGUCUUGCACAUGUGUUUUUUAGUACCAUUUGCUGAAGCAAUGAAAAUAGCCAAGGAAGUGUAAUUAUGAAUAUAAAUAAUCCUUACCAACUAUUUUAAAUUGGAAGAAGAGUCUUGAUUAAUAGAUAGCUUACGUUGGAUUUGGAUGCAUUUUGCCUGUCUUAUUAAUCAUAAUGCUGUCUAAUAAGUCUUAAUUUUUUUCUCAACACACCUUACAAAAAAAAAAAAAUCUGCUAUCAAAAAGAUAGUAAAAAACUAGGUUCUCACAUGCUAGAACCUUAGACAGUGGUUCUCAAAUUUGAGUGUCCAUCAAAAUCACCCGGAGAGAUGUUAAAAUACAAUUGCUAGGACCCAAAGACGUAAGUUUCUGAUUCAGUAGGUCUGAGAUGUGUCUAAUAAUUUGCAUUUCUGACAUGUUCUUGGGUGAUGCUAGUGGUACAAAUCUGGGAACCACACCUUAAAAUUUACUGUUUUAUGAUAUCAAUGCUGUGUUGUCCUCUUCCAUACCUAUUUUGAGGUAAUAGACCCUAGCUGAUGUUAGAUGCUGUGAGGAGCCAAACUUUUUAAACUUUGAUAAACCAGGAAUGAUGAAGUGACUCAACUGUCAGGAGCACAUCACCAAACUUGACUAAUCAAAAAAAAAAAAAAAAGAGAGAGAGAGAAGUGACAUGACUGGCUUGCUCAGUUGGAGCAUGAUCUUGGGGUUUUGAGUUUGAAUCCUAUGUUGAGUGUAGAAUACUUAACCAACUGGCUCAGUUGGUUAAACAUCUAACUCUAGUUUUGGCUCAAGUCAUGAUCUCAGGGUUGUGAGUUCAAGCCCCACAUUAGGCUCUGCACUGGGUGUGGAGCCUGCUUAAGAUUCCUCUCCUUCCUCUCCCUCUUCUCCUCCCUACCUCUCUUAAAAAAAUUAAAUAUUUUUUAAAAAUAGUAAAAUUUUCUUCUGACCUUGGUUAAUGAUUUCUUGUGCCAGUGUCUAUAAAUUUUAGGAAUGAUUUGUAAGAGGAUAAUUAAUAAUCAGUAUUUCUUACUACAUGACUUUUUAAUAAAAAAUAAGGGAAAAUUAAACCAGUAUCCUGUUUAACAAUAAUUGAAUACCUCACCUUUGUAUAGCUGAUGGAAGAACCAAAUGAUUUUAAUUUAGUUUUGGAUGUCAUUAGUUUGGUAGAGAUUUUGUCAGGCAUCUCUAAGGAUGAACCUAUUGGAAGAUAAUAUAUUAUCAAAUAGAAUGGUGUAAUUUUCUAUUUGCAAGUUAAAUGAAUUAAUAUGGUAGACAUGGUGUUUUAUCAUCAUAUGCAAUUGUAGAUUUCUGUAUGUACUUUGAUGAUUACUAUCAUUCAGUCUUGUUAAAGAACCUGGGCAUCUCAUUAGUAUUCUGUUACUGAGCAGUGUGAUCAUGUGUGGAGCAGCUGGAGAGGGACCAUAUAUUUCACAGAACUCUGGAUUAAUGACAAGAAAUAUUCUGGUAGUGACCCCAUGAAUAGAAAGCAGGAAUCUUGAAAAAACAAACAAAUAAACAAACAAAAAAAAAACCUUCCAAUUUGCGAGUCUAUCUUUGUAAAG